rnacentral:misc_RNA from 1 species
GAUGAAGAACUUAGCGAAAUGCGAUAAGUAGUGUGAAUUGCAGAAUUCAGUGAAUCAUCGAAUCUUUGAACGCACAUUGCGCCCGCCAGUAUUCUGGCGGGCAUGCCUGUUCGAGCGUCAUUUCAACCCUCAAGCCCUCGGGUUUGGUGUUGGGGAUCGGCGAGCCUUUCUGGCAAGCCGGCCCCGAAAUCUAGUGGCGGUCUCGCUGCAGCCUCCAUUGCGUAGUAGUAAAACCCUCGCAACUGGAACGCGGCGCGGCCAAGCCGUUAAACCCCCAACUUCUGAAUGUUGACCUCGGAUCAGGUAGGAAUACCCGCUGAACUUAAGCAUAUCAAUAAGCGGAGGA